GUUCUUCUCAAUCUAUCAUCCUCCUCAAGUUGAACACCAUCUGAGAGUAUAUUAAACUUGUUUACAAGAGUCUGUAAUCGGAGAGCGGAAACUGAUUUUGUGAGAAUAUCAGCCGGUUGAUCUUGCGACUUGAGAAGUGCAAGUUGCUGCUCAUCUUCUUUCAGAAAUUACAUUAACCCCUUCUACUGUGAGGAUUGUUUUGAACUACAUCCAGUCUAUCGACAAUCCCAUGGCAAGUAUUGAAGAAGCAAUGACAAGAAUACACUACCGACCAACACAAUCAAUGUGUUACUUCACAAGUAGAUGUCGAUGCAGUAUCGAUCCUUACAUUCUUAAGCACCUGGCUUAAAUAUAUUGGGAGCAUGGAGUGAGGAAUCAUCCCCUACCAAUGAAUUGGAAAAUCAUCGAAAGGUCAAAUAUAAUAUUAUUUCUGGAAAAUCCGUGGCUGCGCCUCAUGUGCUUGCUGUAGCUGCCCUUCUUAAAGCAAUAUAUUCUAAAUGGAGCAGUGCGGCUAUUAAAUCAACUCUUAUGACCACACGUAAU